rnacentral:rRNA from 1 species
UACAGAGGUCCCAAGCGUUGUUCGGAUUCACUGGGCGUAAAGGGUGCGCAGGUGGCUGGGUAAGUUUGAUGUGAAAUCUCCGGGCUCAACCCGGAAAUGGCAUUGAAUACUAUUCGGCUGGAGGUUUGGAGGGGGGACUGGAAUUCUCGGUGUAGCAGUGAAAUGCGUAGAGAUCCGGAGGAACACCAGAGGCGAAGGCGGCCUGCUGGGCUGCACCUGACGCUGAGCCGCGAAAGCCAGGGGAGCGAACGGG